GGAGUUGUGGCUCACUGGUAGAACUCUCACCUGGCAUGUGCGAGGCCCUGGGUUCGAUCCUCAGCACCA
rnacentral:tRNA from 1 species